GCAGGUGCGAAAGCAGGACAUAGUGAUCCGGUGGUUCUGAAUGGAAGGGCCAUCGCUCAACGGAUAAAAGGUACUCCGGGGAUAACAGGCUGAUUCCGCCCAAGAGUUCAUAUCGACGGCGGAGUUUGGCACCUCGAUGUCGGCUCAUCACAUCCUGGGGCUGUAGUCGGUCCCAAGGGUAUGGCUGUUCGCCAUUUAAAGUGGUACGUGAGCUGGGUUUAAAACGUCGUGAGACAGUUUGGUCCCUAUCUGCAGUGGGCGUUGGAAGUUUGACGGGGGCUGCUCCUAGUACGAGAGGACCGGAGUGGACGAACCUCUGGUGUACCGGUUGUGACGCCAGUCGCAUCGCCGGGUAGCUAAGUUCGGAAGAGAUAAACGCUGAAAGCAUCUAAGCGUGAAACUCGCCUGAAGAUGAGACUUCCCUAGGGAUUUAAUCCCUCUAAAGAGACGUUCGAGACCAGGACGUUGAUAGGUCGGGUGUGGAAGAGUGGUAACACUUGCAGCUAACCGAUACUAAUUGCUCGUGAGGCUUGACUCUAU
rnacentral:rRNA from 1 species